ensembl:lncRNA
AUGUCUCUGUGUCGGGCAGCUUUGCAGAGAUGUGGGCCUAUGGCUCGGCAUUUUCUCACAAAUUCACCCUUCUCUCACCUUAACAGAAAUGUGGUCUCUCGAAGGACCAUGUCAUCAGUCCCUGGUGGCUCCGGUGAGAACAUUGCUUACUUUCUGCUGUGCGGUGGUGCUCUUGCUGCAUCCGUCGCCUACACCUACUCAACCGUGACCUCAGACCAUGCCAGGUUUAUGGACCGCGUAACCGACAUCCAAUCCCGUCCCAAGGACGAAUGGAAGCCUAAACCAUGGCCACCCAAGAGUAGGGAUGAGGAUGAGGAAGGUGAGGGUGACGAGGAAGCAGCUGAAGAUGAGGAGGCUGCUGAGGGAGAUGAGGAGGCAGCUGAGGGAGGAGAGGAGGCAGCUGAGGGAGGCGAGGAGGCAGCAGAGGAGGACGGAGCUGUGGAGGCAGAGGCCGGAGAUGAGGUGGCCGCUGUGGCGGAAGAAGCCGAACCUGCUGCUGAGGCUGACGCUGAGGCUGAGGUCGCUGCGGAGCCCGUAGCUGCUGAGGAGGAGGAGGAGGCAGGGCCCGUAGAGACCGCAGUGGAGGCGGUCGCUGCGGAGCCUGUAGCUGCUGAGGAGGAGGAGGCAGCACCCGUAGAGACCGCAGUGGAGGCGGUCGCUGAAGCUGUUGCCGAGGCUGCCGAAGUCAUCGCUGAGGUCGCAGAGGUGGUUGUCGAGGCAGCGGAGGAGGUGGCGGCGGUUGCAGAAGAGGUGGAGAAGGUGGCACAGGAGGUGGAGGCAGCAGCAGAGGCUGUGGCAGCGCCUGAGACUGUGGAGGAGGCGCUGGCUGAGGCCAUGGAGGAGGAGCCUGCGGCAGCUGAGAGCAACGGAACCCAGAUGGAGGCGCUCUCUACAGUACUGAGCGCUGUGGCCCCGGCGGAGAUGGCCGCAGCCUCUGUAAUGGAGGUCAUGCCUGUGAUCCCUGCAGAGGAGGAGCCUCUCAUUGUGGAGGAGGUGAAGGAAGAGGCACCCGUCGUUCCUGAAGAAGCCCCAGCAGUAGCUGAAGAGGCACCAGCUGCUCCUGCUCUGGAGGAGACCCCAGCAGAGGUAGAGGCAGCACCCGCGGCUGAGGAAUCCCCAGCUGCAGAGGAGGCCGCAGCAGUAGAGGAGGCUCCCGCAGUUGAGGAAGCACCUGUGACCGAAGAAGCUCCAGCUGUGGUUGAGGAGACCCCACCUGCCCCGGCAGUUGAGGAGGCCCCUGCAGUUGAGGUGCCAGUGACCGAAGAAGCUCCAGCUGUGGUUGAGGAGGUUCCUGCUGCUCCAGCAGUAGAGGAGGCACCAGUGAGCGAAGAAGCUCCAGCUGUGGUUGAAGAGGUUGCUCCUGCAGUGGAGGAAGCACCUGUUGCCCCAGUGGUAGAAGAGGCACCCGCUGCCCUUGUGGAUGUCGAGGAGGUACCCGUUGCCUCAGUGGUUGCUGAGGAGGCACUAGUGGCUGUGGUGGAAAAUGGUGCCGUCAUCGCUGAUGAGGUAGCAGAGUCUCCUGCAAGUCCAGAGGUGGUUGCAGAAAGUCUGGUUGUGGAAGAAGUAGCAGCAAGUGUGGUUGAGGAGGUCGCAGCAAGUCCGGUUGUGGAAGAAGUGGCCGCAGUGCUGGCCGAUCCUGAGCCUGCUGCUGUUGAGGAGGCCCCGGCACCAGUGGAGCCCAAACGGGAGUACAUUAUGGUGGUCCUGGAGGGGUCCCCAUCAUCUGAUAAGAAGCCCAAGGUACUGGGGGUGUCUGCAAUGACUGGCAGGGUCAUCCCUGCCCCUGAUGAUGAUGAGCCAGUUGUCCAGGUAACAGGGAAAGAGGCGGCUGCUUAGAGUUCAAAUGCAGUAACAUCGUAUUGGUUCUGUAAGGACCUUUAAUCCCUGGAUGGUGAAGCCCUCCUCCCGGAAGAAGAAAAAAAAGGAUGUGCCUUUCCCCCUUAACACGACCUCCCAACACCAAACUUACUCCCUCAGCCCUUACUGCAGGAAGUUUUGAUUGGUGGUUUCUCCUGGUUCCUACGAUUACAACAAUUUCAUGCAAUUACUUGUACUGUAAACAUCCCCCAGUAGGGGAGCUGACUCUGCCAUUAACGGUCACAGAAAAUAUGCACAAUCUCUUCGUAAUACCACAAUUAUCACUGUUUAUAAGUCAGAACGUCGGUCAUGACAAUAGCCGCACUCCGUCUUUUCACUCCUUCAAAUCUCAAAUUUCAGAUCUUUCAUUCUCUUUGUAACUGACUCAUCUUAUGUCAUCAAUAUGAUGGAUCAGGUGAAACUAUCAACUGUAAUAUUUCUGCAACUUGUCACAUUUUGCAUAGUGGUGCAAAGUGGAUAGUGUAGUUUGCUUCUCCAGGAAUCUGUUAACACUAGGUAUAGUAAUUCAGGCAUCAGCCCACAUAGUGAGCAAAGUGGGAAGAAAUGGUCACCUGCCUCCACUUAGUAAAUGUUUACCACAUCCACUCUGUCCUGUACUGAGCCGAUCCCUGCAACUGUCCUUCAAGCUGUCUGCUUGGUAAUGGGCUUUGUUGGUAAUUGUGAUGAAUUGUUGAACAAACAAAAUGGUCACCUGCAGGGAAGAGGAGAGCUAUAGCUACAUUUCUAGUAGCACACUGGUUCUUCUUCAAAGUUAGUUUCAGCUUAGUUUGACCUACCUCAGCCCUCACUCUUACCAGGCCAUGUUUCCUUACCACAAUGCUACCUGUUACCAUGGCAAUUGGCUGCACUAGCUCCAGCAAAAACUGUCACAACAAGCUGCAAGAGAACCUUUCAGAGCCUCAGGCACUCUUCACUUUCACCAGUAUACACAUAAACUGAAAAAAAGUGUUAUUUAUGUAACAAAACUUGGCCAUAGGCCCACUACAGCAAUACACAACUCACGGCUGUAUUUUUAAAGAUUACUGGCUUGUUUGGGGAAUCAUGGACCUAAACUGUACCUCACUCCUUUGUACUUCAGCCCUUGAUCUUCCACUCCCUUCCUCCUGGAGCAAGCAGUGUUGAAACAUUUUCUACGCUUUUACCAAUUACAAACCAAUUAUAUUUCACCGAACACCAGCAGUAAUUUUUAUCAGGUCAAAAUCAAAUUCUUAAAAAAAAAAAAAAAAGAAGCCUCUUCUGACCGUUGCAUAAGCCCCAUAGAAUCACAGCAUGAAGCACUAGAAACAUAUACUGUGCAUGUGAUGCGGCGUAUGUAGCUUUACCAGCGUCAAGAUGACCUCAGAAUGGACACAGUCAGCUUUUCUGCUAGCAUUCUCGCAAGCAUAUCAACACCCUUCUGUCUUUCCACUGUUUUUGUUGCCCAAAUUGUAGCUUUCAAGUCCAUAGCUGCAAGAUAAUCCAUGCCCCAUCCCCACUGAGAUGGAUGUUGUAGUGGGUACCAUUACGGACAACAGACUGAUCUGUGCUUGAGUGGUCAAUUACAUUGAUCAUCCAAGCAGAUAGCUUGUUAGUCACAGUGUACUACUCUGUGAUUCAGCUGUGAUUUUUAUUUUGUUUUUGAACACAUUGGUAUGAUAAGGGAAUUUCAUGUCAAUUUAUUAUUUUUGCAUAGUCUUUCAGCUUGGCUUGCAGUGACUUGCAAUGAAAGUACCACACUUCAGUGUAUAUUUCGGUAUUUCAGCUUCUCAGUAGGAUGCUCAAAUAGCUCUGUGUAAUGUAUUAAAAUUACAUUUUGAAUUCAGUUUCUGGGCAUAAUUAAUUUUCAUGCUUAUAGUUUUUGCAAUGGAUCUUCAUGUUCCCUUUGUCUUUUAUUUCUAUAUUUAACAUGUUCAAAGAAAGGGACCCUGAAGUGAAUGUAAGAAUAUUAAAUGAGGUGUAGUUUUAUCAGUGUGUCUGUCCUUGUGUGUUCGCUCACUACUGUCUUUCCCCCCCUUUUUUGUAAAUGCCAGCUGGCAGGGCAUAUUUGAUAUAGAACCUUGUGUCGAUCUGUUUUGCCUAGCUGAUGGUCCACCAUGGUGGCCAUUUUACUGUGAAUGUAGACACAUUCUGUCUGUUUGAAAUAAAGAGGGAUGAAGAACUAAAAUUGAUUUGCUG